CCCUUAGAGUUUGAUCCUGGCUCAGAAUCAACGCUGGCGGCGCGCUUAACACAUGCAAGUCGAGCGAGAAAGGGGAGCAAUCCCUGAGUACAGCGGCGUACGGGUGAGUAACACGUGGGUAAUCUGCCUUUUAGUGGGGAAUAACCCUGGGAAACCGGGGCUAAUACCGCAUAAUCCUGUGAAGGGAAAGCAGCAAUGCGCUGAAAGAGGAGCCCGCGGCCGAUUAGCUAGUUGGUGAGGUAACGGCUCACCAAGGCGGUGAUCGGUAGCCGGCCUGAGAGGGCACACGGCCACACUGGCACUGAAACACGGGCCAGACUCCUACGGGAGGCAGCAGUGGGGAAUCUUGCACAAUGGAGGCAACUCUGAUGCAGCGACGCCGCGUGAGCGAUGAAGCCCCUCGGGGUGUAAAGCUCUUUCGGCAGGGACGAUAAUGACGGUACCUGAAGAAGAAGCUGCGGCUAACUACGUGCCAGCAGCCGCGGUAAUACGUAGGCAGCGAGCGUUGUUCGGAAUUACUGGGCGUAAAGAGUGUGUAGGCGGUGUUCCAAGUUCGGUGUGAAAUCUCCCGGCUUAACUGGGAGGGUGCGCCGAAGACUGGAAUGCUCGAGCGUGGGAGAGGAAAGCGGAAUUCCUGGUGUAGCGGUGAAAUGCGUAGAUAU
rnacentral:rRNA from 1 species